AUGCGUGAUCGGGUCAGCAUCGACCUAGACAACUUCCCCCUCGACCACGAGUUCCCGGACGACUACGAGCUAGAGGAAGAGGACGAGUGCGACAUCGAAGUGGAGCCUUUGUUCGAGGACGAGCUCGCCAACCAAGCCGCCGGUCCUAAGCCGAAGCUCAAGAGCAAGCGCACGAAGGCGUACACAGUGGCCGAGGACAAGCUUCUUUGCGAGUGUUGGCGAGACAUUGGACAAGACCCCAAAACGGGCGCCGAGCAAAAGCAUUCAACCUUUUGGAUUCGUGUCCACCAAGAGUUUCAUGAGCGCAAGAAGUUUCGACCUUAUCAAUUUGUGAGCACGCGCGGGUGGUUUUCAUUUCCAAGCGGUGGAGGGUGA
rnacentral:rRNA from 1 species